rnacentral:rRNA from 1 species
AGAUGCUAGACAAACUAACUUUAUUGGAGAGUUUGAUCCUGGCUCAGGAUGAACGCUGGCGGCGUGCCUAAUACAUGCAAGUCGAGCGAAUGGAUUAAGAGCUUGCUCUUAUGAAGUUAGCGGCGGACGGGUGAGUAACACGUGGGUAACCUGCCCAUAAGACUGGGAUAACUCCGGGAAACCGGGGCUAAUACCGGAUAAU